UUUGAAUAAUACUGAAGGCUCUGUUGAAGUUGUGUCAGCAGCGAAAUGGCAUAGAACAUCGAAUGUCCUCAUCAGAGAUGGAACAGCAGGAAGCAGAAUUUCAGUGAGACAUGGUGACAGGGGAUCUUCAGCUUUCAUGUAGCUACCUCCAAAGGCAAAGGUAUUUCAGUAAAUGUCUGUUGUGACAUUGUACUCCUGCAAGG
rnacentral:lncRNA from 1 species